UAGGACUCUAGAAUCUCUCUAAUUAAAGACAUUCACCUUAAAUAGAAGUGUAUUUAUAAUACAGUUAAAUAAAUAUAAAAAUAGAUUUUCUUGUUUUUAGUUGAAAUAAUUAUAGAAAUAAAAUAGUUUUACUUAUCGUUUAUUAAAAUAGAAUUCAAAGUUUCGUUAUCUUGUCGUGUUAUGGUAGGUCUCCUUGAUCUUCGGAAUUUAUUAGAAUCUUUUAUUUACUUUGCUCUAUUUUGUUACUAACUAGUUAACUUAUAAAAAUGAAUCCACCAACAACUUUUUUGCAAAUUUAGG
rnacentral:lncRNA from 1 species